rnacentral:rRNA from 1 species
AUACGUAGGGGGCGAGCGUUGUCCGGAUUUAUUGGGCGUAAAGGGUGCGUAGGCGGCCUUGUAAGUCAGAUGUGAAAUCUCACGGCUUAACCGUGGUAAGCAUUUGAAACUGUGAGGCUUGAGUACAGGAGAGGAGAGUGGAAUUCCUAGUGUAGCGGUGAAAUGCGUAGAUAUUAGGAGGAAUACCAGUGGCGAAGGCGACUCUGUGGAAUGUAACGGACGCUGAGGCACUAACGCGUGGGGAGCAAACAGUAUUAGAUGCCCUGGUAGUCCACGCCGUAAACGAUGAGUGCUAGGUGUCGGGGGUCAAACCUCGGUGCCGCAGUUAACACAUUAAGCACUCCGCCUGGGGAGUACGGUGGCAACACUGAAACUCAAAGGAAUUGACGGGG